CCCUUAGAUGUCCUGGGCCGCACGCGCGCUACACUGAGUGUCUGAGAUACGAGUCUGCCUGGUCCGGCAAGGUCUAGGUAAUCGCUAAAAGACACAUCAUGCUUGGGAUAGAUUAUUGCAAAUAUUAAUCUUGAACGAGGAAUUCCUAGUAAGCGCAAGUCAACAGCUUGCGUUGAUUACGUCCCUGCCCUUUGUACACACCGCCCGUCGCUACUACUGAUUGGAUGUUUAAGCGAGGUUCUCGAACUGCUAGCGACUUAGCUUCGGUGAGGUCGCAGUGUGGGAAGUGAACCUAGCUUUGGGGUCUAGAGGAAGUAAAAGUCGUAACA
rnacentral:rRNA from 1 species